rnacentral:rRNA from 1 species
GAUGAACGCUGGCGGCGUGCCUAAUACAUGCAAGUCGAGCGAACAGACGAGGAGCUUGCUCCUCUGACGUUAGCGGCGGACGGGUGAGUAACACGUGGAUAACCUACCUAUAAGACUUGGAUAACUUCGGGAAACCGGAGCUAAUACCGGAUAAUAUAUUGAACCGCAUGGUUCAAUAGUGAAAGACGGUUUUGCUUUCACUUAUAGAUGGAUCCGCGCCGCAUUAGCUAGUUGGUAAGGUAACGGCUUACCAAGGCAACGAUGCGUAGCCGACCUGAGAGGGUGAUCGGCCACCCUAGAACUGAGACACGGUCCCGACUCCUACGGGAGGCAGCAGUAGGGAAUCUUCCGCAAUGGGCGAAAGCCUGACGGAGCAACGCCGCGUGAGUGAUGAAGGUCUUCGGAUCGUAAAACUCUGUUAUUGGGGAAGAACAAAUGUGUAAGUAACUAUGCACGUCUUGACGGUACCUAAUCAGAAAGCCACGGCUAACUACGUG